ACAUUCUUUUUUCUUGUUCACAUCCUAAAAAUCAGAAUGAAAAGAAAUAGAAUGGAGAGAGAGAGAGAGAGAAAGAGAGAGAGAGAGAACAAGAAAAGAAGAAGAAAGUGGAAAAGAGGGGAAAUUUCAUGCUCUAUUAAAUCUUGAAGAUUCUUUCAUCAUCAUCAUCUUCAUCCCAAUCUGAAUUUCCAUGUUUUAAUUGAGGCGGGGUUCCAUAGUUAGAUGGGUGUUUUAUGCAGAAAAUGCGUUAUGGACGCCGUGACGGUCUAACCGUCACGUCCCAAUCCAGAUGACGAUCGUUAUCAAGUGAAGACAGGUUACUCGUCAAGACCCAAAGCCCAAUGAAGAGCACUAUGAUGGGUGAUGACCAUCACCGUAACAAACAUGUCACUACUUUCUGGGCGUCUUGUGGUAACGACCAUCAUGGCCACGACUGCCAGACCGUCACCAGGCCCAAAAUGUUGUUUUAACCUUGUUUGGUGAUUUUGGGAAGGCUCCGUCCUUCUAGUGAUUUUAUAUGAUAUGCUAAGAGUCAUUAAAAUAA